CAGUCUUCCUUACACUUACUGAACUGUGUUUUGUCUUGUUUCUUUAGGCACUGGAAAAUCUCAGUUUUUCAAGUUUGCUUCAAGUCUCAGUCCUCGUUCUAUAUUAACUACUGGAGUGGGUACUACUAGUACUGGACUCACUGUUGCUGCUGUUAAGGAUGGCAGUGAAUGGCAGUUAGAAUUAAGCUGGUGCUUUAGUAUUAGCUGAUGGUGGACUAUGUUGCAUAGAUAUGUAUGAGUUUAAUAGUAUUAAUGAUAGGGACAGAUCCUGUAUACAUGAAGCAAUGGAGCAACCAACUAUUAGUGUUG